rnacentral:rRNA from 2 species
CAGCAUAAAAAUAGCUUGCUAUUUUGGUGGCGACCGGCGCACGGGUGAGUAACGCGUAUGCAACCUACCUUACACUGGGGGAUAGCCCGAAGAAAUUCGGAUUAAUACCCCAUAGUAUUAUCGAGAGGCAUUUUUUGAUAAUUAAAGCUCCGGCGGUGUAAGAUGGGCAUGCGUCCCAUUAGCUAGAUGGUGAGGUAACGGCUCACCAUGGCUACGAUGGGUAGGGGGCCUGAGAGGGUGGUCCCCCACACUGGUACUGAGACACGGACCAGACUCC